ACUUCUAUAGGAAAGUAGUAAUCCACUGGUUUUAGGUACCAACAGCCUUGGUGCAACUCCAAGUAAAAGUA
rnacentral:tRNA from 1 species